rnacentral:rRNA from 1 species
UCGAGCGACAGCAUCCUUCGGGAUGUAUGGAGCGGCGAACGGGUGAGUAACACGUGGGCAACCUGCCCUCAGCUCUGGGAUAACUCCGGGAAACCGGGGCUAAUACCGGAUAUGACUUUCGACCUCAUGGUUGUUGGUGGAAAGUUUUUCGGCUGGGGAUGGGCCCGCGGCCUAUCAGCUUGUUGGUGGGGUAAUGGCCUACCAAGGCGACGACGGGUAGCCGGCCUGAGAGGGCGACCGGCCACACUGGGACUG